CCUACGGGUGGCAGCAGUGAGGAAUAUUGGUCAAUGGACGAGAGUCUGAACCAGCCAAGUAGCGUGAAGGAUGACUGUCCUAUGGGUUGUAAACCUCUUUUAUCUGGGAACAAAACAUGGUAUGCAUACCCUCUUGUAUGUACCAUAUGAAUAAGCAUCGGCUAACUCCGUGCCAGCAGCCGCGGUAAUACGGAGGAUCCGAGCGUUAUCCGGAUUUAUUGGGUUUAAAGGGAGCGUAGGUGGAUUGUUAAGUCAGUUGUGAAAGUUUGGGGCUCAACCGUAGAAUUGCAGUUGAAACUGGCAGUCUUGAGUAGGGUAGAGGUGGGCGGAAUGCGUGGUGUAGCGGUGAAAUGCUUAGAUAGCGCGAAGAACUCCGAUUGCGAAGGCAGCCUGCCGGG
rnacentral:rRNA from 1 species